rnacentral:rRNA from 1 species
GAUGAACGCUGGCGGCGUGCCUAAUACAUGCAUGUCGAGCGAACAGACGAGAGUGCUUGCACUCUCUGACGUUAGCGGCGGACGGGUGAGUAACACGUGGGUAACCUACCUAUAAGACUGGGAUAACUUCGGGAAACCGGAGCUAAUACCGGAUAAUAUUUAGCUUCGCAUGAAGCAAUAGUGAAAGACGGUUCUGCUGUCACUUAUAGAUGGACCCGCGGUGUAUUAGCUAGUUGGUGAGGUAACGGCUCACCAAGGCAACGAUACAUAGCCGACCUGAGAGGGUGAUCGGCCACACUGGGACUGAGACACGGCCCAGACUCCUACGGGAGGCAGCAGUAGGGAAUCUUCCGCAAUGGACGAAAGUCUGACGGAGCAAUGCCGCGUGAGUGAAGAAGGUUUUCGGAUCGUAAAACUCUGUUGUAAGGGAAGAACAAGUACGUUAGUAACUGAACGUACCUUGACGGUACCUUACCAGAAAGCCACGGCUAACUACGUG